CCUACGGGUGGCUGCAGUGAGGAAUAUUGGUCAAUGGACGAGAGUCUGAACCAGCCAAGCAGCGUGAAGGAUGAAUGCCCUCUGGGUUGUAAACUUUUUUUUUAAAGGAAUAAAACGAGGCACGUGUGCCUUUUUGCAUGUACUUUAUCAAUAAGGAUCGGCUAACCCCGUGCCAGAAGCCGCGGUACUUCGGCGGAUCUGAGCGUUAUACGGGUUGAUUGGGUUUAAAGGGAGAGUAGGUGGGUUGGUAAGUCAGUGGUGAAAGUUAGGGGGUUAAACGUAGGAUUGCAUUUGAUACUGGCAUUCUUGAGUACAGGUGAGGUAGGCGGAAUUCGUGGUGUAGCGGUGAAAUGCGUAGAUAUCAGGAAGAACACCAGUGGCGAAGGCAGUUUACUAGACUGUAACUGACGCUGAGGCGCGAAAGUGUGGGUAGCAAACAGGAUUAGAUACCCCUGUAGUC
rnacentral:rRNA from 1 species